ACUCAAAGGAAUUGACGGGGGCCAGCACAAGCGGUGGAACAUGUGGUUCAAUUCGAUGCUACGCGAAGAACCUUACCCAGGCUUGACAUGCAAGAAGUAGGAACCUGAAAGGGGGACCACUCGUAACCAGUCGAGAGCUUGCACAGGUGCUGCAUGGCUGUCGUCAGCUCGUGCCGUGAGGUGUUGGCUUAAGUGCCAAAACGAGCGCAACCAUCGCCCGCUGUUGCGACCAGGCCCGAAAGGGUGCUGAGCACUCUGCGGGGACUGCCAGCGACGAGCUGGAGGAAGGUGGUGAUGACGUCAAGUCCGUACGGCCUUUAUGCCUGGGGCGACACACGUGUUACAAUGGAGCUGACAGCGCGCUGCGAACCCGCGAGGGUGGGCUAAUCGCUUAAACGGCUCCUCAGUUCAGAUCGCAGGCUGCAACUCGCCUGCGUGAAGCUGGAAUCGCUAGUAACGGCGGAUCAGCUACGCCGCCGUGAAUACGUUCCCUGGCCUUGUACACACCGCCCGU
rnacentral:rRNA from 1 species